CCUACGGGAGGCAGCAGUGGGGAAUAUUGGGCAAUGGACGCAAGUCUGACCCAGCAACGCCGCGUGAAGGAAGAAGGCUUUCGGGUUGUAAACUUCUUUGAAGGGGGAAGAGCAGAAGACGGGACCCCUGGAAUAAGCCACGGCUAACGACGUGCCAGCAGCCGCGGUAAUACGUAGGGGGCAAGCGGUGUCCGGAUUUACUGGGUGUAAAGGGCGGGCAGCCGGCGAGACAAGUCAGAUGUGAAAUCCACGGGCUCAACCCGUGAACGGCAUUUGAAACUGUUUCCCUUGAGUGUCGGAGCGGUAAUCGGCAUUCCUUGUGUAGCGGUGCACUGCGUAGCUCUACG
rnacentral:rRNA from 1 species